rnacentral:lncRNA from 1 species
UCGUUCUUUCUCAGGAGUUGCUCUAGACCCUCUCUGAUGUUCUGUGGGAGGUUCUUUCCUAUUCGUACUUCGUCCCGCCCGAGGGCCACUUGGGUCGUGUGGGAUGCCGGUUCGGGUCUUGCCGUGCGUUCCCGCAUCGAGUGGGGUAGGCCUUCGUCCGACGUCAUUACUUCACCGACCGAAUUGAAGUAGCAUUCGCGCGCCUUCUUCUGGGAUCCCCGGACCGUACACACCCCUGCCUCGGUUGGGAACUUGAGGCACUGAUGGAGUGAUGACAUAACCGCCUGGAAGGCGUGCAGCGCCGUCCUUCCCAGGAUGGCUUUGUAUCCCGAUGUGAAGUUGACGAC